UCACCCAGGAAACAACACACUAGAAUUUGUUUUACAACGUAAAUGUGUGUGUUGGCUGGAAAGAAUACUUCGCUUUAUCCUGCAGUGGUAAUCCGCUUCCUGUUCUUUCUGUCCGUGACCGCCUGAGGGAGCAGUAGUGCGCGCCGUGUUCUUUAAACUCGAAGGAACAAACAAACAGUGCGACUAAAACAACACGUUAAAAGUGAAGCAAAAUUGUAUCCUAUAAGCUAAAUUAGUACGUACAAUAACGUGUUAAAAGCAAUCGAAAUCGAAGUAAACAACAAAGAGACGAAGCACAUUGUUAAACAACAGGAAAAGGUCCAACAGGGCCUUUUUCUUUUGGUUUCGACUGGUUCUUCGGAACCAAUAGAACAUCAUCCCCAGGUUACCGACAACUCCGGACAGAAAAGCACACACAAGAUCGAACUAGACCCAAAAUUUGACCUCGAGUGUGACAUAACCUAGCCUCGGAACGGAGCGCGUGCAGAAAUCCAAAAACAACACCUUCCGACUGAAACCAGCAGAAUGCCACCUCGGAAACCAAGUUGCCAACAUCGAGUCGACACGCUUCGGGUUGAGCCGUUCCCAGCGGUGCCAAAACCGCCGUUAGGUGGGCAUGGUUCUGCAGAUCUGCCGUUCUCAACCGUCUGGCUUCGUAACUGGCUGUGGCGGUAAAUUGCAAGCCGAAAUCAACAUCGUAGCGAUGCUGCGAUCCGACAACAUAAACAUAAACUGUAUCGCAAGUAUAUAUAUUAUGUGACGUCACGUUAGGGCCCAUUCUUAGAAUUAAAUAUGUAAUUGUAAUUGUUGUUUACCAAACUGUAAAUGUAGACACUCGUAACCACUUUACACUUCCGGAAUUUGUUUCGUGUUCGAACUCCAUUUUCAAACCUCGCCCUGGGGUGGUCAUCUAAAGAAGUUCAGGCUAGAUUUCCUUUUCUUGUUUAAAUAGUUCAGCUCUGGUUGAUAGCAUGAGAGGUACCCACCCAUUUCGACACCCUUGAAAGUACAUGUUGGCCGGAAUUGGAAUGACCUGCGUGAGAUACCUCCAGAGGACAGUGUUUCGUGAUGAACUUUCUAACAACGACCCUGAGUCCAACCAUAAUCUCUCCUCCCAUGUUCCCAUCCACUGAGUGUAGCUGCUCGCGAGUUACAUUCUGGCGCCCACAUAAAAAAAGAAAAAGUUCGCUAUGUUUACAUUACUCGUUCCCCCGGAGAGGGAUGAAAAUCAGUUCCUGAUUGAAACUUGAUCGUCCUCCGAACGAUCUCUACUUAAUAUCCCGGACAAAGUUUCAGUUCAUUUUGUGUAAACAGUUUAUGUACAGAUAGAAACGCAAAAAAUUUACUAAUAGCUAAAAUAGUAACGGAAGAUUGUGUACAAAAUUGACCUCUAAUUAGUGCAAAAUUUAGUUAUUUACAGCAAAGUUAACAUGCAACAGUUUAUGUUUUUAAUAUUACCAUUUAUUUUCUGUUUUUUAGAACCGAGAUACGAAAUACAAUGGAUUUAGAAAAGCAACCAAAUUUACAAAAAAAAAUCUGCUGGCUCAUUUUAUAAGCACAACCAUGAGAGCAGUUACGGUUACGAAUUCAAAAAUUACCAAAAAGAGACAUUUGGAUGAUUGUUGCAAAAGUGAGCAAAAUUAUCAGAAAAAACUACCGAGAUUUACAGAUGUUCUCUCGAAAACGCCGCGUUAGAAUGUUGCACACUUCGAAUUAUCGUAAUAAUCGGUUAUCUAACAACGUACAGUUAUUUGGAGGAAUAUUUUUAAAGUUUAGUCUCCAAGACUACGGUUACAAAGAGAGUAACAAACCAGCUAGCAUAUGCUAAGUGUGCAAGCAACUACUUGGAAGGGCAAGUAGUUCCGGAAAAUGUCCAAAUCCCUUUCAAAAAUUUAAAUCUGACCCUAAAUUUUGUCGAAAAAGAUUAUCAAAUCUUAAAUUCUUCCGAUUUUGCCAAUGUGUAGUAGGAGCAAAGAAAUUGAAACUUUAACUUAAUUUGAAAAUGGACGUUCUGACUAGAAGUAAAAUACUCAAA